rnacentral:rRNA from 1 species
GACGUAGGGCGCGAGCGUUGUCCGGAUUUAUUGGGCGUAAAGAGCUCGUAGGCGGCUUGUCGCGUCGUUCGUGAAAACCUGCAGCUCAACUGCAGGCUUGCGGUCGAUACGGGCAGGCUGGAGUUCGGUAGGGGAGACUGGAAUUCCUGGUGUAGCGGUGAAAUGCGCAGAUAUCAGGAGGAACACCGGUGGGCCGAAGGCGGGUC